UGAUGACGAGACGCUAAGGCGUUCAAGCAGUGUAUGUCAGACUUCCAAGAAAAGCUCGCAAUGUCACAAAUAAAGAAUGCCUGUACCAUAACCGACACAGGUGGGUAGGUAGAGUAUACUAAGGGGCGCGAGAUAACUCUCUCUAAGGAACUCGGCAAAAUGACUCCGUAACUUCGGGAGAAGGAGUGCCUUAUUUAUAAGGUUGCAAUAACAAGAUCCAAGCGACUGUUUAUCAAAAACACAGGUCUCCGCUAAGUCGUAAGACGAUGUAUGGGGGCUGACGCCUGCCCAGUGCCAGAAGGUUAAAGAAGUUGGUUAGUGUAUGCGAAGCUGAAGACUGAAGCCCUGGUGAACGGCGGCCGUAACAAUAACGGUCCUAAGGUAGCGAAAUUCCUUGUCGGGUAAGUUCCGACCCGCACGAAAGGCGUAAUGAUUUGGAUACUGUCUCGGAGAGAGGCUCGGUGAAAUAGACUUGUCUGUGAAGAUGCGGACUACCUGCACCAGGACAGAAAGACCCUAUGAAGCUUUACUGUAACUUGAAAUUGGAAUUGGACUUUGCUUGCGCAGUAUAGGUGGGAAGCGUUGAAAAUAUUCUUGCGGGAGUAUUGGAGCUAUCAGUGAGAUACCACUCUUGUAAUGUUAGAUUUCUAACUUUGAACCAUAAUCUGGUCAAAGAACAGUUUCAGGUGGGCAGUUUGACUGGGGCGGUCGCCUCCCAAAUGGUAACGGAGGCGUACAAAGGUUUCCUCUGAACGGAUAGAAAUCGUAUCUAGAGUGUAAAGGCAUAAGGAAGCUUGACUGUGAGACCUACAAGUCGAGCAGGGACGAAAGUCGGUCUUAGUGAUCUGACGGUACUGAGUGGAAAGGCCGUCACUCAACGGAUAAAAGUUACUCUAAGGAUAACAGGCUGAUCUCCCCCAAGAGUUCACAUCGACGGGGAGGUUUGGCACCUCGAUGUCGGCUCAUCGCAUCCUGGGGCGGUAGUACGUCCCAAGGGUUGGGCUGUUCGCCCAUGAAAGCGGUACGCGAGCUGGGUUCAGAACGUCGUGAGACAGUUCGGUCCAUAUCCGGUGUAGGCGCUAGAAUAUUGAGAGGAGCCUUCCUUAGUACGAGAGGACCGAGAAGGACACACCGCUGGUGUACCAGUUAUCGUGCCAACGGUAAACGCUGGGUAGCUAUGUGUGGAGUGGAUAACCGCUGAAAGCAUCUAAGUGGGAAGCCCACCUCGAGAUGAGUAUUC
rnacentral:rRNA from 1 species